GGUGUAGGCGCAGCGAAAGCGAGUCUUAAUAGGGCGUUUAGUCGCUGGGUAUAGACCCGAAACCGGGCGAUCUAUCCAUGAGCAGGUUGAAGGUUAGGUAACACUGACUGGAGGACCGAACCCACUCCCGUUGAAAAGGUAGGGGAUGACUUGUGGAUCGGAGUGAAAGGCUAAUCAAGCUCGGAGAUAGCUGGUUCUCCUCGAAAGCUAUUUAGGUAGCGCCUCAUGUAUCACUCUGGGGGGUAGAGCACUGUUUCGGCUAGGGGGUCAUCCCGACUUACCAAACCGAUGCAAACUCCGAAUACCCAGAAGUGCCGAGCAUGGGAGACACACGGCGGGUGCUAACGUCCGUCGUGAAAAGGGAAACAACCCAGACCGCCAGCUAAGGUCCCAAAGUUGUGGUUAAGUGGUAAACGAUGUGGGAAGGCUUAGACAGCUAGGAGGUUGGCUUAGAAGCAGCCAUCCUUUAAAGAAAGCGUAAUAGCUCACUAGUCGAGUCGGCCUGCGCGGAAGAUGUAACGGGGCUAAAACCAGGCACCGAAGCUACGGGUUCAACUUUGUUGAGCGGUAGAGGAGCGUU
rnacentral:rRNA from 1 species